AAUGCUGGAGCCAAGUGGAGGUUUACGCCAUCCAGUCAAUUUGAUGAACAAGAACAUUGAAUCUUUAGCAAAGUGCGGUCCUGUGACCGUUCCUCCAGAUGUUCAAGUACUUUUCACAGAAUCACAGAAUGUCAGGGGUUGGAAUGGACCUCAGAAGAUCAUCCAGUCCGAGCAAGAACACCUACAAUUUGAAAAUCUAAUUAUGGAAGCCAUCUACAAUUACGAUGCUGCCCGAGAUGUGGAGCUCUCCUUGCAAGUUGGCGACACCGUUCACAUUUUGGAGAUGUAUGAAGGUUGGUACCGAGGGUACACGCUCCGAAAUAAAUCCAAGAAGGGCAUUUUCCCUGAAACGUAUAUCCAUUUAAAAGAGGCAAUCGUGAAGGACCGGGGGCAACAUGAAACAGUGAUUCCGAGUGAAUUGCCCCUUGGACAAGAGCUCACUUCUACCCUGAGGGAAUGGGCAGUUAUCUGGCACAAGUUAUAUGUGGACAACAAAACAACACAGUUUCGGCACGUCCAGCAACUGACUUACAGCCUGAUCGAGUGGCGGUCGCAGAUACUGUCCGGGACCCUUCCCAAGGAUGAGCUGGCGGAGCUCAAGAAGAAAGUCACCGCUAAGAUUGACUACGGCAACAGGAUCCUGGGUUUGGACCUGGUUGUGCGAGAUGACAAUGGGAACAUCUUGGACCCAGAUGAAACCAGCACAAUCUCUCUCUUCAAGUCCCAUGAAACUGCAUCCAAACGGAUUGAGGAAAGAAUCCAGGAAGAGAAGUCCCUGCAACAGAAUUUGGACCUCCGAGGGCAGCCGAUAUUCAACACAACACACACGUACAGCCUGUAUGUAAACUUCAAGAAUUUUGUCUGCAAUAUUGGAGAAGAUGCAGAGCUGUUAAUGAGCCUCUAUGAUCCUGAUCUCUCCAAGUUCAUCAGUGAAAAUUACCUGGUUCGUUGGGGCAGUAAUGGGAUGCCUAAAGAAAUUGAGAAACUAAAUAACCUUCAAGCAGUCUUUACCGAUUUAAGCAGUUCUGACUUGAUCAGGCCGAAAAUCAGCUUGGUGUGUCAGAUCGUGAGGGUGGGACACAUGGAGCUGAAAGAUGGGAAGAAACACACCUGUGGACUCCGGCGGCCCUUUGGGGUGGCAGUGAUGGACAUCACUGAUAUCAUCCAUGGGAAGGUGGACGAUGAGGAAAAGCAACAUUUUAUUCCAUUUCAGCAGAUUGCCAUGGAAACGUACAUCAGACAGCGCCAGCUCAUCAUGUCCCCACUGAUAACUUCCCAUGUGAUCGGAGAGAACGAGCCCCUCACUUCUGUCUUCAACAAAGUCAUCGCGGCGAAGGAAGUGAAUCACAAAGGGCAAGGUCUUUGGGUCUCCCUGAAGCUGCUUCCUGGUGAUCUAGCACAGGUUCAGAAGGAUUUUUCCCACCUCGUAGACAGAUCAACUGCUGUGGCUCGCAAAAUGGGAUUCCCUGAGAUAAUCCUUCCUGGUGAUGUUCGAAAUGACAUUUAUGUCACGCUGGUACAAGGGGAGUUUGACAAAGGGAAGAAGAAGACCCCCAAGAAUGUAGAAGUCACCAUGUCCGUACAUGACGAAGAUGGAAAUCUCCAAGAGAAAGCUAUCCAUCCUGGUGCUGGUUAUGAAGGUGUCUCCGAAUAUAAGUCUGUUGUUUAUUAUCAAGUCAAGCAACCUUGCUGGUAUGAAACCGUAAAGGUGUCCAUUGCCAUAGAAGAAGUCAGUCGUUGCCACUUAAGAUUCACCUUCCGUCAUCGGUCAUCACAGGAGUCUAGGGAUAAGUCUGAGAGAGCUUUUGGCAUGGGCUUUGUGAAGCUGAUGAAUGCAGAUGGAACAACGCUGCAAGACGGCAAACACAAUUUGAUUGUGUAUAAGGGCGAUAACAAGAAAAUGGAAGACGCUAAAUGCUAUUUAACUCUUCCUUGUACCAAAAUGGAGAUGGAGGAGAAGGAGGCUCCCUCGGGGAAAAAUCUGCAUCAUUUAGCCAACUUCACACCCACUAAAGAUAGUACAAAAGACAGUUUCCAGAUUGCCACUUUGAUCUGCUCCACCAAACUCACCCAGAACGUUGACCUGCUGGGUUUGCUGAACUGGCGUUCGAACUCUCAGAACAUCGCUCACAACCUGAGGAAGCUCAUGGAGGUGGAAGGAGGAGAAAUCGUAAAGUUUUUGCAAGACACCCUUGAUGCGCUUUUCAACAUCAUGAUGGAGAUGUCAGAAAAUGAAACCUAUGACUUCCUUGUGUUUGAUGCACUGGUAUUUAUUAUUUCUUUGAUUGGAGACAUCAAGUUCCAGCAUUUCAACCCUGUACUUGAAACUUAUAUUUACAAGCACUUCAGUGCAACCCUGGCGUAUGCGAAACUCACCAAAGUACUGAACUGCUACGUGGGAAAUGCUGAUGACUCCAGCAAGACAGAAUUGCUGUUUGCUGCCCUGAAAGCCUUGAAGUACCUGUUCCGAUUCAUUGUUCAGUCGCGAAUAUUGUACCUGAGGUUUUAUGGGAAAAGUGAAGAUGGGGAUGAAUUUAAUGAUGCAAUACGCAAGCUCUUCCUCUCCUUCAAUGUCCUCAUGGACCGGCCUUUAGAGGAGGCUGUCAAGAUUAAGGGUGCAGCUUUAAAGUAUUUGCCAAGCAUCAUAAAUGAUGUCAAACUGGUAUUUGACCCUGUUGAGCUCAGUGUCCUCUUCAGCAAGUUCAUCCAAAGUAUUCCUGACAACCAGUUGGUUCGACAGAAGCUCAACUGCAUGACCAAGAUAGUCGAGAGUGACCUGUUUAAACAGUCUGAAUGCAGAGAUGCUCUUCUGCCGCUGCUCAUAGAUCAGCUGAGUGGCCAGUUGGAUGACAAUUCAAACAAGCCUGACCACGAAGCCUCCUCACAGCUGCUUAGCAGCGUUCUUGAAGUCCUGGAUCGGAAAGAUGUGGGUCCCACUGCUGCCCACAUCCAGCUGAUCAUGGAACGCCUGCUGAGGAGAAUAAACCGCACGGUGAUUGGAAUGAGCAGACAGUCUCCGCACAUCGGUAUUUUUGUGGCCUGCAUGACAGCCAUCCUGAGGCAGAUGGAAGAUUUCCAUUACAACCAUUACAUCAAUACUUUCAAAACCCGGCAGGACAUCAUUGACUUCCUGAUGGAAACAUUCAUUAUGUUUAAGGAUCUGAUUGGAAAAAAUGUCUAUGCAUCCGACUGGAUGGUCAUGAAUAUGAUGCAGAGCAGGGUUUUCCUCCGGGCGGUGAACCAAUUUACCUCUGUACUCAACCGCUUCUUUCUGGACCAAGCAAAUUUUGAACUCCAGCUCUGGAAUAACUAUUUCCAUUUGGCAGUGGCCUUUCUCACUCACGAAUCCCUCCAGCUGGAGACCUUCUCACAAGCCAAACGCAACAAAAUUAUCAAGAAGUAUGGGGACAUGAGGAAAGAGAUUGGCUUCAAAAUAAGAGAUAUGUGGUAUAACCUGGGUCCCCACAAAAUAAAAUUCAUCCCAGCAAUGGUGGGGCCGAUCCUGGAGGUGACGCUGGUCCCGGAGCCGGAGCUACGCAAAGCAACCAUCCCCAUCUUCUUCGACAUGAUGCAGUGCGAGUUUAACUUCAGCGGGAACAGAAACUUCCAUAUGUUUGAAAACGAGUUGAUAACCAAGCUGGACCAGGAAGUGGAAGGUGGCCGAGGGGACGAGCAAUACAAGAUUUUGCUGGAGAAACUCCUCCUGGAGCACUGUCGCAAGCACAAAUACCUGUCUGUGCCUGGGGAGGUGUUCGCUUGGCUGGUCAGCAGCCUGCUGGAGAACCUGCUGGACUACAGGACCAUCAUGCACGAUGAGAGCAAGGAGAACCGCAUGAGCUGCACUGUCAACGUGCUGAAUUUUUACAAGGAGAAGAAAAGAGAGGACAUUUAUAUCAGGUAUCUUUAUAAGCUCCGAGACCUGCACACAGACUGUGAGAACUUCACAGAGGCAGCGUACACUCUCCUCCUCCAUGCAGAGCUGCUCCAGUGGUCGGAGAAGCCGUGUGUCCCUCACCUGCUGCAGAGAGACAGCUACUACGUCUACUCCCAACAGGAGCUCAAGGAAAAGCUCUACCAAGAAAUUAUCUCCUUCUUUGACAGGGGCAAAAUGUGGGAAAAAGCCAUUCAACUGAGCAAAGAGUUGGCUGACAUGUACGAAAACAAGGUCUUUGAUUAUGAGGGACUUGGUAAUCUCCUGAAAAAACGAGCCACUUUUUAUGAGAAUAUUAUGAAGGCAAUGAGACCUCAACCAGAAUACUUUGCUGUCGGGUACUACGGUCAGGGUUUCCCCUCUUUCCUCCGGAAUAAGAUUUUUAUCUACCGUGGCAAGGAGUACGAACGACGGGAGGACUUCAACCUGAAGCUGUUGACCCAGUUUCCUAGUGCUGAGAAGAUGACCAGCACUGCCCCUCCAGGAGAGGAGAUCAAGGCUUCUCCUAAACAGUAUGUGCAGUGCUUCAUUGUGAAGCCUGUGAUGAACCUGCCGCCUAAUUAUAAAGAUAAACCUGUUCCUGAACAGAUCUUAAACUACUACAGAGCAAACGAGGUGCAGCAGUUCACACACUCCCGACCCGUCAGGAAAGGAGAAAAAGAUCCAGACAACGAGUUUGCUAAUAUGUGGAUAGAAAGGACAACCUACACGACAGCCUAUUCGUUUCCUGGCAUCCUCAAGUGGUUCGAAGUCAAACAGAUCACAACGGAAGAGAUCAGCCCCUUGGAAAACGCCAUCGAAACGAUGGAGCUAACGAACGAGAAAAUCAGCAACAUCGUCCAGCAGCACGGCUGGGACCGGAGCCUGCCCGUCCAUCCUCUCUCCAUGCUCCUCAGUGGCAUUGUGGACCCAGCGGUCAUGGGCGGAUACACCAACUAUGAGAAGGCCUUUUUCACAGAGAAGUAUCUUCAAGAACAUCCUGAAGAUCAAGAUAAAAUUGAACUGCUUAAGCAACUAAUAGCUCUACAGAUGCCGUUGUUGGCAGAAGGGAUCAGGAUCCACGGUGAGAAGCUGACGGAGCAGCUGAAGCCUCUGCACGACAGACUGACAGCCUGUUUCAAAGAGCUCAAGAAGAAGGUGGAGAAGCAGUAUGGUGUGAUAACUUUGCCUCCUUCCCUCACCGAGAGGAAACCGAGCAGGUCCGGCUCUGUCGUGCUGCCCUACAUCAUGUCUUCCACGCUGAGACGUCUCUCCGUCACCUCUGUGGCGUCUUCGGUCGUCUCCACAUCUUCCACAUCAUCUGAUAGCGCUCCCUCCAGACCGGGUUCCGAUGGGUCUGUUCUGGAGCCUCUCUUGGAGAGAAGAAUAUCAACAGCUUCCCGAGCUGAGGAGCUGCCCCUGAAAGACGAUGGCGAUAACCGGAUUAGCAAACUCAAACGGAAGGACUGGAGUAUUAGCAAGUCUCAGGUUAUCGUGGAGAAAGAGCCAGAAACAGAACUGUCCUCCAAAAUGGGCUUGUCAGGAAAAGCACAGAGGCCAAAGAGUCUUCAAUUAGGAGACAACAGACUGACUUUGCUCCAGGGUUCCUCGCUCCAGCAGUCAGCACCUCACAGCCCACCGCCCAUCACUCCCAAAACGCCACGAACCCAAAGUUUUCCCUCCUUGCAAGCCGAUGGAUUGGCAGCUGGUAGCUUACAGAGCACCCCCCCGCCACCUCCACCCAAAAGCAAACCCUACGAGAACAGCAACCCGCGGAACUCGGUGGAGGUUGCUCCACCACUACCCAGCAGACGUGAAGCCAAACCUCCCCCUCCACCCCCGAAAACCAGGAAAUCCAGCGUUGUCUCUUCAGAGCAAGGACUGCAGUGAGGAUCGGCGCUGCUGGGGUCGCAGCAAGUGCCUGGACCGAAAUCGCCGCUUCCUUUGUACCGACACGCUGGGCCUCCCUGACCCUAAAGGCUGUUGAUCUCGCCUGCCAUUCCAUUCCCUCCCCUUGGAGUUUUCAUUGGGAACUACCAAAAGGAACUGAUAUUUUGACUGGAUUCCCAACCUCUGGUUUACUUUCUGGUACUGAAACACUAAUCACGUAGCAGGAGAAGUCGCUCUACUGGAAUUCUUGUCUAUUUUAGUCUUGUCUGUCCAGAGUUUUUUCCCACUGUUGCAAUUUCAGCAGCUGGUUCCUAGCGUAAAGCUGUCAUUUGUAAGUGAUUUACCCCACUGUUUGAAACAAGGUAAGCCACUGUGAGAUGUCCUACAGUGUUUUCACAUGAAUCCCGUACAGUUUUACAGCUGUGCUUCUGCACCGAUCCCUCCUCCUGCCCCGGUUUGCAUGACGUGAAGCAGAUCGCAGCCAUUCCUGAAUUGUCAAGUGUCGGCUCCUGAGACGUCAGGUGCCGGUGUGUGAUGUGCAGCCUCCUAAGGUUCUUGAUUGCAGGCACAGACCUGAGCAUCGUUAGCAGAAUAAGAAGUCUUUUUCUCCCGCUAGUCAUCAUAUAUAUUUAAGAUGAAGCACAGACGUUGUGCCUCAUACCGUUUCUGCUCGAGGAGCGGCAGUUGCUCACUCCCAGUGGAGAGUUUAGGUUCACCAGUGCUUUGUCAUAAUUUCACUGUUGGUUCUGGUUUUAACACUGGAGAGCAGUUGAUAUUCCUCCCUGAAUUACGUUACCUGCUUGGUUUGUGCUUGUGUCCAGGGCUUGGAACAAUAUUUCACCUUCGUGCUUUUUAGUAGGGUGGAAAAAGUUGCUUCUCUCCUGUGAAUACUUGAGUAGAGGCUGCGUUGAUACCAACACUUUACUGGUACCAGCGACUUGGGGAGGGUGGAAAACUCGUUAUACAUCCUGACCUCAGGAACAAAUCUCAUAGUUACCAUGACCUUUACUUAGGCUGGGCAAAUUCACACAAAUAUAGUUAUUUCUCAUCCUCUUUUUCUCCCUGCAGCCAUUUGUGGCAGCACUUGCACUUUGUUUUAUAGCCUCACUCCAUCUAUUAAUAGGUUUUUAACAGCCACCAGACUUCAAGGAGCCAUUUAGAUCUGGGAUGCAUGUGGAAGACCUGACAAUUAACCAUCUGCUUUCCUAUGGCUUGGAUUACUCCAGCCCACUGCAGUGUAACUCACCUGUUUAUAGAAUACACAGCUUGUGUCGGGGCUGUUAUUUUUCACUGAUAUUUUCCAGAGAAAAUAUUCACUCUGUUUUACUGUGGAACUUGGGAAAUGUGGGAGUUUGCAAAGUUCAGAUUCAAGCUUUUUGGAAAGUUCAAAGUUUUUUAAACUCGUCACGAAGAGGGACCAGCUGAGGAAGUUGGAUCCAAGUUCAUUUCUGAAACGAUACAAAACUUGGGCUGCUCGGUUACAGCCUGUGGCCUGUUUAUUUAUCAUCAGCGUUGAUGAAGACGCUGUCGUGGGCUCUGUCUUCCAGGAAAUAAUUUUGCUUGUUACCUAUAAUUGUCAUUUAGCUUCUGCUGAUCUGGUAGAAGACACUAAAAAUGCUGCUGAGGACAUUGCUCACAGUAGUAAAUACAAAUACUGUUGUUUCUUUGCAGGCCACGACACCAUUAUUCUGCUCACAUGACUUAGAUGGCUUUUAUUACCUUACCGCAAAAAUGAUCAUGUUUUUGUUUGGGUUUUUUGUUUCGUUCAGUCUGAACUAGUCCUUUCUUUUGCUCCUACACGUUCCUUUGCCUUCAGCGUGACUCCCAAAGAAACCUGCAGAAGCUGGAUGUGCUUUGCUGCUCCCAAACAACUUGCUUUCCACAAAGGGUCACAUUGGAUUCACAUCACAAAGCAGGUUGGAGGCGUUUUGGAAGCUGCAGUCACAUCACAUACAUCCCCGGUUGGGUUUGCUAUAGCGUACGUACAACCGUCUUCGGGGCCGUUUCCUUCUCAGGGGAAAUCUCUGAAACCUUUGUGGACGUGACAGCUCCACAUGAUGUUCUUGGACGUGGAUGCUGCUUGACUUGAAAACCACAAGGGUUUUCUCGUCUUUCAUUUCUUGUCCACUUCUUGCUCUUCUUGCAGCCGUUGUCUUCCUUCUGCUGCACACGCCAACCAAAGGAUCCUCUGAAACUCCUAUGAGCGAGAACUUUCUGUCUCCGGUGAGCAUUUUGCUGUAGGCAGAACAGCAGGAUGUGGUCUGAAUUGGAGAGCAGGACGUGUUAACACCACCUAUUGUGAAUUCAGUGCCUUUCCCCACUCUACAUCUGCCCGUUUCCUCGUUCUUAGGUGCAUUUCCUUUCAGAGCAGCUUUGCUUUUCACUCCUUUGGUAAGUCAGGAGACUCUGCUGGAAUCCCAGGUGAUGGUUUGUGUGUAGGGGGUAACAAACUACGUGUCACGUUUGGGUAUUUUGGUUCCAAGUGACUUUUUUAGUCUAAUUUCCCUACCUUUUUGAUCUACUUUCGUAGCUUAAACUCAUAGCUGGACCUUGUACAUGCAAAAGUUGGUUGUUCUUUUUCCUGGAGGAGGGAACUAUUCCCUACAAGUCUGACCACAGGAAGAAUUUUUCAGCUGAUCUUUAAUGAUCCUUUGCAUAAUGCUCUUUAACUUGGGGAGACAUGGUUCCGACUGCCGUUCUUGCAGUUUUAUAGGCUGGAUUUAUGAACAGAGUACUUAGCAUGCAAGUGGUUAAUUAUCCUCUCCCCUCCUUUCCUUCCUUGGAUCAUGCAGCUGCCAGCAUUAGGAAUAUAUAUGGACAGUUGCUAUGCCAGAAAAGGGGUCAGAACUGGGAGAUUUUUUCUUUCUUAGCGUUGUUUUAGUUCUAGAGUCCAAAAUGCUGUAAACUCAUCCCACUUCUUGCCUUUUGGCGAACUAACUCACUCACAAAUAGGCAUUCAGUUUUCUUAAACGCAUUACUGGCUGUGGUUAUGUUGUUAGCUGAUACAAGUCAGCACAGUUUGCUUAGAGGUACAAGAUGGAAUUUCUGUGCUGUGCCUGAAUGAUUUAGGCCUUUGUGCCAGUUUUAGAAAAACGUUGUCUUCUAAGUGUCAGAUUUUUAAAGGCACUUGGGCAUUUAAGUGUGUGAAUAAGCAUGGGGCCUGACUGAUUUUAAUUAAGUGGAAUUAAGUGCCCACACUCUUAUGAGAAAUCCCACCAGGCCCCUCAUUCUUUUUUAGUGUUCUGCCUUUUGCUACAAUACUUAAGUUCUGAGACUUAAUUUUCAGAGACAAUUUAAAGUCUCACUGCUUUGUUUUCAAAGUGAGGGUCAUCGUUCCAUGUUAAUUAGUUGCUGUUGGAAAUGUAUCCAAAUGGCUUUUGGACUGGAGGGCUAUAAAUGGGAGUAGGAGAACUGUCCAUAAUGAUGUUGUCUCUGUGUACCAGAAAUUAAAGCAAACAGCAGUUUCUGCCCAGCUCAUGGUUUUGAAUAAAACAAAUCUCAAAGCUACAUAUCCAGUCUGCAGAGAAGACAAAACCUAAUCCUAUUUCAUAGCCGUGCUGUUCAAAGCCAGUUUUAAAUUUCAAGUCUUAGAGGAUUUUGGGGUUUUUUUAUUAUUUGGAGAAAUAUGCUCAACACUUGUUUUCUGGAGCUUUUAAUUAAAAUUUGUCAUGCUGUGAUAAAUUCCUUUAAAAAUGUUGCAGGCUCUAAUCCACAGCAGGGGAAGAGGGGAGCAGACAGCUUUCCAUUUCAGUGGAUUAUUGGAUUAGGAAAGGACACCGAUUCCAGGGAGAACAGCUCUGUGAUCUGCAGUGGCACAAAAUACCGUCAUGUAUAUGCAGGACCUGCAUCAAUACCCUUCCCACUGUGCAGCCCCGUGUCUGCUCCACAGAUGAACAGUGAGUUAGACUUGUAGUGGGAACGGCUCAGAUUUUCUCUCCUUAUUUAUUUUUGUAUUUGUAAAUGGAAAUAAUAAGUUUAAGAUGUCUCUAAUUUAACUGUAGGGUUCUUUAAAGAGUGAAAACAUUCCUGACUUGCUACUACUACCUUCUUUCGCUUAUUUCUUUUGAUUAAGAACUUCUCUACCUUAUUUACUGUUGCAGACCAAAUGUUCUAGUGGACCAGGGCGAGUUUGUGUGUUUUUUAACUGGAGGUGUAAGUCCUCAGCAGCUCUGAAAUCCAGCCCAAGCAUGCAUGCUGUUAAUCGGUGUCAUUUUUGGUGUUUUAAAGGUUCCGUGACAUGAUAGAUCUUGGGAGACAUUUGUCUUGAAUUCAGGAGAAUCUGGAUGUUGUGUAACGUGGUUUUGUGAGUGUUUCGAGCUCCUGGAUGUGAUGGUUUAGUAUAAACCCCAGCUCUGCAGACUGCAAAUACCUUCUUUUUUCUCUUUCUUUUAGUCCUCUGCAACUGAAUCAGCCAAAAAUGCAGCUUUUAAAGUGGCUCUGAAGAAAGAGCAGGAGUUAAGCUUUGGAAAGGGAGUCUGCAUCUCUCUGGGCUUGUUUUCCGCUCCAGAACCCACCUCUUGAAGUGAUUCCAGCAGGUUCUCCGCGUUCCUUUUCCCUCCCGGUUGCAGCCCGUACGACCAGUGCUGAGCCGAGCAGGUUUCCAUGGACAGGACGAACAGGAGGACGCCCACCAAGAUCUUCCUGGACUUCUCCAUCCUGCGGGAGAGCAGAACAUCCUUCUGAUCUCACAACGACAUUACAGGCUGGAUGAGCUCGAGGCUGGAACAAACAGCACGUCGGGAGGGACCCGCUCCAUGUCUUCUCUGGAACUCGAGGCCACGGUCGUAAGUCACAUAAAGGAGCUGGGAGGUUAAAAACCAGAUUACGGCUGGUUUGUUUGCCCACAAGUACUUUUAGGGCCCCGUGUAACACAAACCGCCAGACUACUCUGAUUUGUGGCCGAGUCUGAACGAAGUGCGAUCCAAGGGCUGGGAGGUGCCAGCUUUGUGCUCUCUAAAAAAUCAAACGUGAAGCUGGGUUUUCAUCCUGCGACCUCUCUUUACUCUUCAGAUGCUGCAGUGUGGUUGAUAGAGACUUUUCAGAGGAGCUCCCAGCCCUUCCAGCGCACUCAUUUUUCUGGUUUGGGGAGAGAAAUGCUGAUGCCUGCUAGUGCUGUGAAGUACCUACGGGAGCCAGGGACUGGUCAGGAAAACCUGGGUUUGGGGGGUUCCCAUUCCAAGAAUCAAGACCUCUCUUUUAUCAGACACUUUGGAAAGGCAUAUCCUACCCUGUUGGGUCUCUUGGGCUCUCCAGACAGCAUUCCUACCCCAAAGAAGGGUCCUGGAGGUGAGAAACGGAAGGAAGAACUGGACUUUUGUUCUCGGGGUGCUCUACAGCACUGAUUUGGUGUAUUGGUAUUAUCACAGAGUUAAUUAGACUGAACCAGGAGGACUUUCCAGACCAAAGCCUUUUUCUUCCAGAAGUACUUCAGCAUUUCCUCAUUAAGACUGAACAGUUUAGCUGCUUGUGCUGUGCAAUGACAAUCUCUGAUGUGGAAUGUGUUUUAAAUAGCGCACAUACUUAUGUAAAUUGUGGUUCAUGACUUCUGACUCCAACUAUUUUAUUAAGCCAAUAUAAAGGUUGGAGGCAAAGAAGAGCCCAGAAGUGCUCCAGAUGAAUGACAAGACAAAAUACUUGUGAAAUUUCCCAAACUCCAUCGGAAACCUUGCAGCACUCCCCACAACACAAGGUAAUGCUUGUUACCUCGAGAAAGCACUGGCUACACACAAAUCCAGGCUAAGGUGACAGUCAAGCUCUUACAAAGGGCAAACCCAACUUUAGCUACAGUAUUUUUAAGUCUCUAUACAAGCAGCUGUCAAAGUUAAAAGUUGUGUUCUCUUCUAACUUCUUGUCCUUCCCAUAAAAGAUUGAGAUUUUUUAAAAUUAAGACAACCAAGACACUUUUAUAUUUCUCACUUUUAUUAAUGCAAUUUAAAUUAGGCCAGAACCUGCAAUUUCCGAAUAGGCCACUUUGGGCUAUUCGUACAGCUUUGUCAUAGCAAAAGAGGUACCUUAAAUUCAUCUGUGAAUGAAUGAUGCCACAUGCUGUGAUUAUUCAAAACAUAGUGCUUCAGUGAAAGUUCAAAUAUAGUUUAUACACAGUGAUUAUGAAAAUAGAUAUUUCUUACAUACAAUAUUUUACUUCUGCCAGCUACAAAAUAUGAUAAAGAAAAAUAAUUCAUUUAUUUCUCUAGCCCUACGAAUCUUCUACUGCAACAUACACAUCACUCUCAAUGAAAGCGAUGAGGUGGGAGCAAGGACUCCAAAAUCACACUGCAAUAUCUCUCUUGAACCUAGAGGUGUGUUCCCCGUGUUGUCCCAGGGCCAGAUAAGAGGCCUGGGAAUCUGGAGGAAAUCAAAUCCCGAUCCUGAACCAGAUGGUUUGGGGAUUUUGAGUCCCAGAAGUUCAUGUCAUACGCCUGAGUCAACCCAACUUGAAAACAAGGGAGAAUCCUGCCAUUCCCCCCAAUGAAAUCCUAUACUGGUCCUGAUCUCAUCUUUCUACAUUGAUGGCAAAGCAGCAUUUUCAUAACAACUAUGGAGACAAAAAAACCGUUCAGAGGACAAGAAAUCCGCACUGAAAUGAAAAACCAACCCGCUGAAGUGAGGGUGGAACUCAAACGCCUGCUAACAACACUGUCACCUUCCGUAAGCUUUAGGAUACAUUGCUUCUUAACUUCCAGUAACAGCUGCGGUUCCUUAGAUUCAAGCUUAGUUUUAACUUUGGGGUGUUUUAAGUAAGCAUCUGAGGUAAGAGUUCUUGAUGCACCUUUUUUUUUUUGGUAUAGGUUUGUGUGCUUUUUGAUUGCGUGUAAAAGAAAUGUGUUAGAUGAGAGCUAGAUCGGUACUACAAUGGAAACAGCUCAUUAAACGAAGCGCACCACCACUUCACGAGAUGCUGUGCGGCCUCUGCUCUGCAGAAGUCGCAUAGUUUCCCAUUUGCUCACAUGUAAAGCAGUUGUGGAAAGGGCACUUUGCCCUACGAAAGGUGCUUUUACAGCUGCUUUAAGCAGGCGUGAAGUGGGACACUGAGAUCUGGCCGGUAAGGGAUUAUGCCCACACUUUCAAGAAUUCCAUAUUUGCAUAGUAUUUUGAGGGGAAACAGGCCAUUUGUUCCUACGCUGGAUGACGGAGCAUGUGCUGUGGCCCCAGGGCUUAGCUCUGCUUUGGUGACAGUAUUUUCUAUUUUCCUAUGUACAUUUAAUUCCCCACAAAGAAUGAAAAAUCUCCAGCUCCUCCAGGACACCUGAAAGCAAGAGAAUUUCUCUUCCCAGCUGUGAUUGACAGUGCAAUUGCAGACUCGUUUGGAAAGGAUUAAACAAGACAUCCAGUUUCUGAACGGGGAUGUUUUAGAACUAAAUCCGCUGUGUGGGCAGAUCCCUUCAGUGGAAGCCGCUUCCCCUGCACAUUAUAGAAGACGAUAAAGCUGUUCUAUACCUGCAUUCAAACUACUACAAGGCAAUAAAUUACCUAUGAUGACAGUUAACUCCUGUUUUCACCCCAGAAGAGUACCUGAAAACAUCCUGUGGACAAUGUCUAAACCACAUCUCUCAUUUAAUUCAUUGUGCACGAAUGACGAAACUAACUGUAAAUACACUAGUCUAACUGUAAA